rnacentral:rRNA from 1 species
UGGGAAAGAAAUCCAGCUGGCUAAUACCCGGUUGGGAUGACGGUACCCAAAGAAUAAGCACCGGCUAACUUCGUGCCAGCAGCCGCGGUAAUACGAAGGGUGCAAGCGUUACUCGGAAUUACUGGGCGUAAAGCGUGCGUAGGUGGUCGUUUAAGUCCGUUGUGAAAGCCCUGGGCUCAACCUGGGAACUGCAGUGGAUACUGGGCGACUAGAGUGUGGUAGAGGGUAGCGGAAUUCCUGGUGUAGCAGUGAAAUGCGUAAAGAUCAGGAGGAACAUCCAUGGCGAAGGCAGCUACCUGGACCAACACUGACACUGAGGCACGAAAGCGUGGGGAGCAAACAGGAUUAGAUACCCUGGUAGUCCACGCCCUAAACGAUGCGAACUGGAUGUUGGGUGCAAUUUGGCACGCAGUAUCGAAGCUAACGCGUUAAGUUCGCCGCCUGGGGAGUACGGUCGCAAGACUGAAACUCAAAUGAAUUGACGGAUCUGCGG